ensembl:lncRNA
GAGAAGGCAUCGCUCUCUCUCACACCAACAGGGCGGGAACCACCGACGCCAAACAUCAACGCAUCAAUAAACGGACGAGUUAGGACAAGCGCAACAUUACAUUUUACCCUCUGAACGAAAUUAGCCAGGCCCCGAUUAUUCUGUUCUCCGCGAAAAAGCCUCUGCUUCUGUCAUUCGCCCUGCUGUGGUUCGUCGCUCGCUCGCUGCCCUCCGCUACCACAGGCACACGUCGUUGUCUUUUUCUUCCCUCUUCUCCUGAACGUCUCACCAGCAUCGGGGGAAUUUCAGCGCCCUGUUCGACUGUCUGCAUCGCGUUUUGGCCGUGUGCGCGUUUUCGACCCUCCAGGGCAAGACAUGACGAUCCCAGUGGCGGCAGACGCAGGAAUUAUGUCGAUUCCUGGUUUUGGUGUGUGAAAAUAGCACGUUUUAUGCGUAAGUUACGCUCAGCACCUUUCCCGCGUAUGUUUGUCUGUGGGCUUUAGCCCAAGACAAGAUAGGUGCAGGCUAUAUAUAUUUUUUUCACUGACUGUCGUUUUAAAUCUACUGCACAGCAACAACCUGUACGGUUUAAUAUUAUCAGUAUUUAAUUACGGUAGAUUCCCGUUGUUCGGUAUAUGUCAAGCCUUUAUUGGUGGUCAUUUUAGACUGAUAAGGAUGGGCCUGAUUUUAAGGCUUGUAGUACAGGGUGUUGACGCGUUUGCUCAGAAGGGAAAAAAAGACUGCAUGGUCAUUUUCACCAUUUAAAUCUAUCCUUCGUUUGGCGUUUUGGAUGAUCUUUAUGGCCCGGUUGUGAGACACAGGACUUAAGAUUUAAUUGUCUUUAUUAAGCGACUGAGGUCAACGGACGGACGGACACAACGCUAAACAGUGGGACUGGGAGUGUUUUUGGUGCGCGUGGAAAUGGACGUUGAACCGCGCCUCCGGUGAUUCCACGGUGGGGAGGGGGUCCUUCUUUUCCUCGUUAUUUUAUUCACAUCCUUGGCGCGCCCCCAUUUCCUGAAAGCACAACUAUAUUUCUUGUCGCGUUUCCCCCCCACGUUUUGUCUCACCUGUAGUAUUUCUCCCCUGUCAGAACAACACCACUAUCAGUGGUCGUGCAUUUUUACGCGACAUUUCCCCCAAACCAAAGGCUCGAAGCUCAACAGUUCGCCUGUACAGGGAGGUGGAGGGGGGACAUGUCAUUUUCUGUCGAUCCGAGCCUAGCCGACCACCAGAAACCAACGGAAAGCGGUAGACUCACUGCCAUGCUUGGUGGGCUUUUCACCCGGAGCCGCGUUGCAACCGAGAGGGAGCCGAACGGGAGGAAAAUAGCGGAC